AUUGAACGCUGGCGGCAGGCCUAACACAUGCAAGUCGAGCGGAUGAAGGGAGCUUGCUCCUGGAUUCAGCGGCGGACGGGUGAGUAAUGCCUAGGAAUCUGCCUGGUAGUGGGGGAUAACGUCCGGAAACGGGCGCUAAUACCGCAUACGUCCUGAGGGAGAAAGUGGGGGAUCUUCGGACCUCACGCUAUCAGAUGAGCCUAGGUCGGAUUAGUUAGUUGGUGGGGUAAAGGCCUACCAAGGCGACGAUCCGUAACUGGUCUGAGAGGAUGAUCAGUCACACUGGAACUGAGACACGGUCCAGACUCCUACGGGAGGCAGCAGUGGGGAAUAUUGGACAAUGGGCGAAAGCCUGAUCCAGCCAUGCCGCGUGUGUGAAGAAGGUCUUCGGAUUGUAAAGCACUUUAAGUUGGGAGGAAGGGCAGUAAGUUAAUACCUUGCUGUUUUGACGUUACCAACAGAAUAAGCACCGGCUAACUUUGUG
rnacentral:rRNA from 1 species